rnacentral:rRNA from 1 species
UGGGGAAUUUUGGACAAUGGGCGCAAGCCUGAUCCAGCAAUGCCGCGUGCAGGAUGAAGGCCUUCGGGUCGUAAACUGCUUUUGUACGGAACGAAACGGCUCUGGUUAAUACCUGGGGCUAAUGACGGUACCGUAAGAAUAAGCACCGGCUAACUACGUGCCAGCAGCCGCGGUAAUACGUAGGGUGCGAGCGUUAAUCGGAAUUACUGGGCGUAAAGCGUGCGCAGGCGGUGAUGUAAGACAGAUGUGAAAUCCCCGGGCUCAACCUGGGACCUGCAUUUGUGACUGCAUCGCUGGAGUGCGGCAGAGGGGAAUGGAAUUCCGCGUGUAGAAGUGAAAUGCGUAGAUAUGCGGAGGAACAGCGAUGGCGAAGGCAAUCCCCUGGGCCUGUACUGACGCUCAUGCACGAAAGCGUGGAGAGCAAACA